GUAUUAGAUUUGUAGGCACAAAGUCCCGACAUAAUAAACAUUCUAGACAUUCAUAUGGUGUGUGUUAUAAAGACAUAGGCCUGAAUAAUUAAUAUACAAGGACAGCUUGGCAGCAAUCCUCAAACCGAGUUCUGGUGGACCUCGAAAAUAGUUAUUCAAGCCUACAAAGGUGCACAGGUGGGUUUUAAAGAUGGUGUCUGAGCGUGCACAUGCUCCUAGGAGCCAGCAACAGCCCAAACCCAAGUUUUAUUCAAUAAUGAUCCUUCCGCAGGUUCACCUACGGAAA
rnacentral:misc_RNA from 1 species